CGCCGCUUCGUGUUGAAAUCCCUUAUUUGUGCAUCCCCUGUUUAUUCUGAUCCCGAGCUACGAUAAAGUUUGGUCUUACCAAGAAUGCAAUAGGUGCAGUGGAUGGUACGCAUAUUCCGGUGGUUGUCCGAAAGAGCAAGCAAUCACGAUUUAGGUGUCGCAAAGGAUUUACAUCACAGAAUAUGAUGGCUGCUGUAUCCUUUGAUCAUAUAUUUCUAUUUGUAUGUACAUGAUGGGAAGGCUCAGCAGCUGAUAUGAGAGUAUUAAGAUGGGCUUGUGAAAGUGAAGGGUUUACUGUUCCCAAAGGCAAAUAUUACUUGGUAGAUUCUGGAUAUGCUAAUAUAGAUAAAUUUCUUGCGCUAUAUCACGAAGAGAGAUACCAUCUUAGUCAAUUUGAGGGUAAUACACGUGGCCGCACACAUCGCAGUCCGCGGGACGUACAAUCAUCGGCAUGCUCAACUACGAAAUGUUGUAAAGAAGACUUUCAGCAUAUUGAAAAAGUGUUUCAAGAUUCUAAAUCAUGCAACUCUAUUCCUCUAUAAAGUCCAAUGUCUUAUUGGUAUGGCAUAUUGUGUCAUACAUAACUUUAUUUGACGACAUCACGGAGCUGAUAGAUUUUUUACUGAAGACCUUAACCCAUCGUCUCCUAAGGAUGAAGAAGAAGACCCGAGCGAUUUCGGCGUCACAUCGGACUCACAUCAGGGCGACGAUAUUCGAACUAGUAUCACGGACCAGUUAUGGAAUAAUAGAAGUUAAUUAUUUAAACUGUCGGUUGCAUUGAAUUAUAUUAAAUAGGUUUGAUUCCAAAUGUGAUAAUUAUAUGUGCUUGUAUGGAAUAUGUAGACAUAUUUCGCUUUGAUUGCAUAUUUAGUAAUACCUGCUACACUUUUGUAAU